rnacentral:rRNA from 1 species
GACGAACGCUGGCGGCGUGCUUAACACAUGCAAGUCGAACGGAAAGGCCCUGCUUUUGUGGGGUGCUCGAGUGGCGAACGGGUGAGUAACACGUGAGUAACCUUCCCUUUACUUUGGGAUAACUUCAGGAAACUGGGGCUAAUACCUGAUAGGAGCUCCUGCUGCAUGGUGGGGGUUGGAAAGUUUCGGCGGUUGGGGAUGGACUCGCGGCUUAUCAGCUUGUUGGUGGGGUAGUGGCUUACCAAGGCUUUGACGGGUAGCCGGCCUGAGAGGGUGACCGGCCACAAGGGGACUGAGAUACGGCCCAGACUCCUACGGGAGGCAGCAGGGGGGAAUAUUGCACAAUGGGCGGAAGCCUGAUGAAGAAACGCCGCGUGCGGGAUGACGGCCUUCGGGUUGUAAACCGCUUUAGCCUGUGACGAAGCGUGAGUGACGGUAAUGGGUAAAGAAGCACCGGCUAACUACGUG